UACAGAGGGGGCCAGCGUUAUUCGGAAUUAUUGGGCGUAAGGGCGCGUAGGCGGCCAUGCGUGUCUUCCGUGAAAUCCCUCGGCUUAACUGAGGACGUGCGGAAGAAACUGCAAGGCUCGAGUCCGGGAGAGGGUAGUGGAAUUCCCGGUGUAGUGGUGAAAUGCGUAGAUAUCGGGAGGAACACCAGUGGCGAAGGGCGACUA
rnacentral:rRNA from 1 species